rnacentral:rRNA from 1 species
GACGAACGCUGGCGGCGUGCUUAACACAUGCAAGUCGAACGGAAAGGCCCUGCUUUUGUGGGGUGCUCGAGUGGCGAACGGGUGAGUAACACGUGAGUAACCUGCCCUUGACUUUGGGAUAACUUCAGGAAACUGGGGCUAAUACCGGAUAGGAGCUCCUGCUGCAUGGUGGGGGUUGGAAAGUUUCGGCGGUUGGGGAUGGACUCGCGGCUUAUCAGCUUGUUGGUGGGGUAGUGGCUUACCAAGGCUUUGACGGGUAGUCGGCCUGAGAGGGUGACCGGCCACAUUGGGACUGAGAUACGGCCCAGACUCCUACGGGAGGCAGCAGUGGGGAAUAUUGCACAAUGGGCGGAAGCCUGAUGCAGCAACACCGCGUGCGGGAUGACGGCCUUCGGGUUGUAAACCGCUUUCGCCUGUGACGAAGCGUGAGUGACGGUAAUGGGUAAAGAAGCACCGGCUAACUACGUG